UACCGAAUAUGACUCCAACUCNCAUGAGUUGGNGUGGAAAGUUUUUUCGGUUGGGGAUGGGCUCGCGGCCUAUCAGUUUGUUGGUGAGGUAAUGGCUCACCAAGACGACGACGGGUAGCCGGCCUGAGAGGGCGACCGGCCACACUGGGACUGAGACACGGCCCAGACUCCUACGGGAGGCAGCAGUGGGGAAUAUUGCACAAUGGGGGAAACCCUGAUGCAGCGACGCAGCGUGCGGGAUGACGGCCUUCGGGUUGUAAACCGCUUUCAGCAGGGAAGAAGCCANNUUCGGGUGGUGACGGUACCUGCAGAAGAAGUACCGGCUAACUACNUGCCAGCAGCCGCGGUAAUACGUAGGGUACAAGCGUUGUCCGGAAUUAUUGGGCGUAAAGAGCUCGUAGGUGGUUGGUCACGUCUGCUGUGGAAACGCAACGCUUAACGUUGCGCGUGCAGUGGGUACGGGCUGACUAGAGUGCAGUAGGGGAGUCUGGAAUUCCUGGUGUAGCGGUGAAAUGCGCAGAUAUCAGGAGGAACACCGGUGGCGAAGGCGGGACUCUGGGCUGUAACUGACACUGAGGAGCGAAAGCAUGNNGAGCGAACAGGAUUAGAUA
rnacentral:rRNA from 1 species